UUGCCCCAGUGCUCCUCUGAUCUCUACUCAUGGCCCUCUCUUUGUAACGGUCCUGGUUUUGAUCUCGCUCGUUAUCCCAAUCUUCCAUUUUUUUUACUGGCCUAUCAAUUUCAUAUUCACACCAUUAUCGAGAAUUUCAAGGAGGCUAAUUUUGAUAAGCAGAACUAGUAAUAGGGAAUGAAUUGAAAGUCGAGUUAUAGUGCUUAAUUGCACACUAAUCUAGAAUCUACAAAACGUAUUAAUCUUGAUUAUAGAAGUCGAAAUCUGUUAAGGAGCAUGUAACAACUCAUCUGCUGAAUCAACUAGCCCUGAAAAUGGAUUGCGCUUAAGUGUGCGACUUAUAUUCGGCUGUUGGGGCAAGAGCCAGACUCCAAUGAGUAAGGGACCUUGAUGAUCCCUGCAAAAUCAGAGGUACGAGCUCGACGGAGCUCUCAUUGGUG
rnacentral:rRNA from 1 species